UACAGAGGUCCCAAGCGUUGUUCGGAUUCACUGGGCGUAAAGGGUGCGUAGGCGGUCGGGUAAGUCUGAUGUGAAAUCUCACAAGCUUAACUGUGAAACUGCAUUGGAUACUAUCCGGCUUGAGAGUUGGAGGGGGGACUGGAAUUCUUGGUGUAGCAGUGAAAUGCGUAGAUAUCAAGAGGAACACCAGUGGCGAAGGCGAGUCCCUGGACAACUUCUGACGCUGAGGCACGAAAGCUAGGGGGAGCAAAACAGG
rnacentral:rRNA from 1 species